ensembl:lncRNA
UUUUUUUUUUUUUUCUUCUUUUUACUACUGAAACCUUAAAGCACUCAAGGGGAAGCAUCUCAAUGCUGGUGAGCAACAACCUUCUUUUUGGUUGCAAACUCCUCAUCCUGCAAACUAUAAAUCUGUUCUAAACAAAAAGAGAAAUGCACUAUUUCAGUGAUACACUUCACUAACAGGACAUAAAUUACUAAGCAACAUGAAAUGGGGACACAAAAGUAGCCCAUAGGAGCUGGGUGAUUAAUGCAUAAAAAGAGAGGAGGAAUGAUAGCAGAUCCUCAUUAGACUUAGAAACAGUUUGUCAUUAGUGUAUUUUUUUAAACUUCAGAAUUUUAAUGGAAGAAAAAUGUUUAUUUAUGCCUCCAAUCUCCUCUUUAGUUAACGGAGGCUUCAGGUUCCCCCUCCCCCUUCAUUUCUGGAGAGGCUGCCAAGUUUUCCCAGAGCUAAAAGCAACAACUUUCUGUUAAACGUUACUUCAUGCUUCUGGUAUUAAUCUAAUAGGAGGCUGGAUGGGGAGGAGGGGGAAGCUGCAAUGAAAGCUGAUUUCCUGCCAUGCACUGGGAAAUCCAUAGAAAAUUCAGAUCUAACACUAAUUUUAACAGCUGGAUGACUUGCUUUGGCUUUUACUUGCCAUAGGAGCAUACAACUGCGUAGGGGUUUUUUGGUUAUAAAAACAGAUGUCAAGCAAAAGGCAAAAUAAAAAGGAGGCUUGCAUUUGUAAAUGCCCCAAUUAAAACAUCCUUUUCCACUACUCUAGAAAUAACAACAAAUUUUGCAAAUUGUCUCUUAUUUCUGUUAACAUUUCUAAUAUGAAUAUUCAUGGAAAGAGAAAACAUCCAAGGAGAAUUGUCUUGCUAAUAAGCAUUUCAACAAAUAUUUACUUGGGAAGUGCUCCAGAGACCACUUUGAAAAGGGCAUUAGUGAGUUUGAGAAUCACACAAUAGAGACAUUUAAAUAAUUCUCCUUGAUGGAGAUGAAAAAAUCAUAAUAAAACCAGUAGAUUGUGAACACUCAAAAUAUAAGUGAGUGAAAACUGUCCUGUAGCAGUCGUGGCUGUAGACAACAUACAGCACAGAACUGUUAGCAGCACAUCUCUCAGGCUUGACUAGUCUGUUAAUAAUUGUUUGGAGAACGAUGGCCACAAACAUAAUCCUUUAUCUUGACUACUUAAAAUAAUGGCUGUUUUCUUCUUUCUGGAGCUUGUUGCUCCACCUGUUUCUUACACACCAUAUGGCUCAAAUCAUGACAUAUUGCACAAGAUUAUUUUUUACAUCGAUGCAAAGAAAGCUUAAUACAGUGCACAUGCUGAAACUGAAUGCUGUUUUGCAGAUGAAGCAGGGCUAUAACUUGUUUGUGUGCACAACCUAUAGGACCCUUAGCACAGAUUAUAUUGAUUAUAAAGCUUUACCUGCCCGCUGAUGCAUGCAAUCAGCAGAACAUGGCAGCUGGUUUUUAUGUCCCUAGCUGCAGCCAGCUGCUGGGCUGAAAGUGUUAAGUCACCCUUUUCAUCAGUGCCAGGCUUGCAUUAGGCAAACUGGAGGACUCUCAGGAGCAGCAAUGCCUGAGAAAUCCCAGCAGCCAACACCCAAACCAUGAAGUUAUGCUGUGUGAGCAGAGAGGCUUCUCAAGGGGCAGAUAAGCACAGGGCUGGAACAUUUGAUAGUCUGAAGUACUGAUGGGCAGGAGAGACGAGGAAUGAGAGUCUGGAAAACCAGAGAAUGAGAAAAGUUCCUGUGGAUAUCCCAUUAGAAAGAAGUUUUAACAGAUGAAGCUGCUUAGGGUGUUGAAAAGGCAGAGACCUCUAAAAAGAAAAUUGUUUCCAGUUUCUUUAUUUUGUGUUCCUAAACCCCAGGACAUUAUGCAUAGUUUUUAAGUCAACAGGACUAUUGCCAUUGCUCUCUCUGUACUCCAAAAAUUCCAGCUGGUAUCAGGUUUUCCUUGUAAUGGAAACAAGCUGGCAGAACUUCAAAGUCUAGAUAACAGUUUAUACAAAGAAAGGACAGGAACAGUUAGUUAUACUUCCCUAUUAAUAUUAUUCCCAUAUUUCACCUCUCAAAUUUUUUUUUGUAAAAGUUGGAUAGAAUUUGGCAAUUAAAUGGUGUCACUUGUGUCUGGUCAAAGCUCAGGAAGAGAAUGUCAAAAUGUAGCUAUACUGGAAUUUGUUUGGGAAAGGUUAUCUGAGAGCUCAACUAAAUAUGCCAUGACCAGGGGCUAUGAGCACCAUGAAAUCCUUGAUCUCAGUUGGACAGCUUUUAAAUGGCUAAGAAACUGAAAUGGAAAUUUGAAAAGUUUGUAUAUGAGUAUCCUAUUUCUUUACUGGAAAGCACAGAAAUCAUGCAAUCCUGAUAAACACUAAGACAGUAUGAACCCUCCAAAGAACAUGGAGGAAACUGAGCGAAAAAAUGUUGAGUAAUGAAAAUAUAAUUUUAAAAUAAAUUUGCCUUUGAUUAGCAAAUCCAGUUCAAACAAUUCCAUCUGAGUCUUAUUCUAAGUUUUUACCACAGUAGGAUUGUAGCUUCAGUUUCAAAACUCUCCAUUUUUACUUAUCUGAAAAAAAUGUUUCUCUUUUAAAAGUACUAAAGUACUACAGUCCCUCAUUUAUUUUCUUCCUUCUUUUCUUCUUUUCUGAUCAUAUGCAACAGCAGAAAUGACCUUUGUUAGCUUUCUCUGGGCUGGCAAGAAGCCCAAAGAUCCAGCUGACAAAAACCUCAAGUCAGCAAUUCCAGCGUGAAGAAUGUCCUUUCCAAAGCCCCCGUUUCACAGGAUCCCUGUCACAGAGCAUCUCAGCAGCUCCACACAGAAGAGCCUUGCAUUGCCCUUCAUUCCAAGGUGAAUUUUCCUUGCUCUGUUCCUUGUUCUGGGUUUGUGCUGAGCUCUGGGGGAGGCUGAUGCGACAGCAUCGAUCCCAAACAAAGCUCCCACCACUGGCUCCAAGGAACUGCAAGGAAAGCCCAGUGGGCCAGCGCCCUCCCAGCCCUCACUAAAUCUGAAACAGAGCAUCCUGUACUCAGAGGGAAGCAGCUUGAGUGAGCCUAGACACAGCAGGGUCAGCAAAAGGUCCCUGAGUUAAAUAAACGUGUGCUGCUGUAAUCCUCAUCCACUACUGGAUCAUUGAGCUUGCACCAAUAUUUCUAAUUUCUAACACAAAAGUUGCUGGUUCACAGUGAGCAGCACUCAGAAAAACAAAUGCUGUGAACAAACUUGAGGGUCUAUCUCAUGCUUUAGUUGAAUUUUGAUUUUUUUGUUUCCCCAAAGAAAUUAAAUUAUUUUUGAGGAAGAAAAGAACACAAUAAAUAAAGACUUCAUUGGGCUGCAGUUCAGAUACAGUGAUCUGAACUACAGCUUUGCAGCACAGAAGUGGUUCAUCCUGCAAUCACACCACUUCAUUUAAUAUAAAAAUAAGCACUUAUUUCUCAUGCAGUUUUCUUUCCUGAGCCUUUCUUUAGUGGACACAACAAGUGAACACUGUGCUUUUUGUUCUUUCUCCUCCCCUUUCCUCAGUGGUCCUUUGGUAUUUACCUCCUCUCAUUUUGGAUUUCCUGUCUGUACCCUAGGGAAAGGAUUUUCCUGUGAGAAACAAAUGUCACACUGCAGAUCUUUUUGGAUGUCUAUAGUUCAAGCCUAUCCUCCAUGUGAAGCAAAGCUGUCAUCUACCUGCUACCAGAAAAGUACUGCUCUCAGAUUAUUUGUUUUCCUGAAUAAUUUAAUUUGGAACAAGCUCUGUAGAAUCAAUUUUCUGAUCACUAACAGAGCUGCUAUUUCCAUUCUUUUAAAUUAAGGUGGAUACAACUGUUUUGGGUAAGUGAAAACCUAAAGUGGGUUAAAUCUCAAAAUUCAAACCAAACAUCAUUUUGGAAAUAUAUGUACAUACAUACUUUCUGUAGGGUCCUGUGUAGCACAUAUGUUUUGGUUACUUCAUUUAAUGUUUUGCUCUGAGAGGAGGAGAAAAAGCAAGUGAGAGUACUCUGCAUUUCUUCUGCACAUAUACAGAGAGCAGGGCACAGUGACUCUCCUAGAAGCAUUCAGAUAUGGUGAUAUUAAACACACACAGCUGGUCCUGAAAUUGCAGAAGGUGGUUCUGCAUAAGAGAAGAAAUAUUCCUGGCAAUUCACACCUAAUUAUUCGUGGAAAUAAAAGUCACCAGCAGGACAAGAGAAGGGAAAAAAACCUCUGCAUUUGAGCAGCAGAAGUCCCAGAAGAUGUAUCUGCUGACAGCUGAGACCCAAAACUUUAUUCCCCUCAAACACAAAUCAGAACUUUUCAUUUAUUCCAGUGAUAAAGUGAUACCAAAAAGCCUUUAGCCUCUGGGCUGGAUCACGUCCAAGGCUGCUGAGCCUUGGGUGACUUGCUGACAGGCUUUGGAAGAGAGAUGCCACCUCUCUGGCUCUGGAGAGGCAAGAAGACACACCACAAUUGUGCUGUGAAGUCAGAAAAGUAGUUUUUGGGAGCUCCCUGGGAAAUAUGUUUACGUACAUGCAUGCUCAAGUACGAGGUACAAGUCCUAUACUAAGCAUUUGUCACACCAGCAGGGUGCCAAAGUAGGGCUAAGGAGUGGGGUAGGAUAUUUUGCUUAGUGCAUUUUCAUUUAGAGGUCUUCAGGGUGUUUGGUGCUUGGGAUAUUGAAAAUGCCUUAGAUUUCUUUGCUAUCCUCUUGUGGUAUGUGAUAAAUGCUGCUGGAUUGCAAUGGCCCCGCUGUGGCAAACAGCAAUCUGUGACUUUGAAUGGUUGUGCUGUACAACUUGAAGCUGUUGCAGAGCACUGGGGAGGGUUUUGUGGCUUGUGGUGCAUGCAGAAUGGGUGAUUUGUAGACCUUCUGGGUCUAACCCCUGUGCUUGUGAGGCAUUGGAUUGGAUGACCAUGGUGGCUAAUUCCAUGUACAGUGCAUGAUACCUCACACUGCUCACUGUUUUAGGAUAAAUAAUUGCCUUUGUUGUAUCCUCACUUAGAAAAUUGACUAAAAACUUCUUUAAUGCACAUGAAAGAACAUCUAGAUGGUGGACUGUGGGUAAUGCAUUCUGGAAAGCUAGGAAAGCCAGCACUCCUGCCAGUGAAUCACCAGAGAGCUAGCUGAGGUUCAGAAGAAUGCAGCAGAAUCAUGUGCAGCCUUGCUUCAGUCUUACCUUGAACCCAUUUGCUUUUCAUUUUCUUCAAUGCCAGUGUAAGAAGAAUCUAAAUCUACACUUAGUGAUCAUUCAUGGGACUAAUGAAAGGCAGAUGCAGACAGUGCUUUAAUAAAAGUCAGACUGGGUUGCAGGGGAAAUUGUGUGGAGCUUGCAGACAUUUUCAAACCAGAGGAACUAUCUGUGAAAGGCACAGUUCAGAGAGUCUUGAACUUUGUCUCACAAAUUCAUAAUGUUAGAAAUCUCUUAAGGUCAGGCAUAUAAAUAGACAGUCAAAAGCCUUAUAUUUUUCAAAUAUAGACACAAGGGACAACCUUUCUGUCACAGCAGACAACCCAUUCACAUGCUAAAUCUAGUCAACAGAACAAACAAUGUGCAAAAAAACCUAAGCAGUGAGGCAAGUGAAUAACCAAGGAAAGAUUGUUCAAGGGAGAGACCAUGCUGGACACUCUAGUAAUCAAAGAGUAAAACUGAACUGUGAUCAUGCUGACUGUACAGUAAAGAAAAAAAGCAAACCUCCAGGUGCAACUCUCACCUUACCAAAUUCAACUCUGUAACAAGUAAAUACUGCUAUGUGCAGAGUUCCAAUAGAAUUGGUUUAGGCUAGGUAGGUCUGGUUCGUGUUUUAUUUUGACCUGGCCUUUUCCUUCUAAUUUAUAUAUCCCACACUGGAAUCUGAAGUUGCAUUCCAAAUAAAAGGUUGACUUGCUUAACUACAUUUAAAAGCUGAGAUACCUGCUUCUUUGGCACUAAAAUAAUGAAGAGAUCUAUCAGAGCACUGUCAUGUUCUGUCUGGCCAAUUGUGCCAGCAGCUCUCUGGCCACAGAGAGCAGGCACAGACUUUCCCAGGCAUUUUCCUGUGGAAGGCUGUGAGAAGAUCAGAGGAAAGAAUGAGAAACAAUUCUUACCUCUGUGAGUCUGUGGGCUUUACAUCAGGCAAGUCCUUGAGGGCUCUCAUACCUCCACUUGUUGCACCUGCUGUUGUACACAUGUAGAAUGUGUCAUGGAGAUUUGCUUAGCAAAAAGUGAUUUCUUAAUUGGACACAGGUGUUUGGAUUGAUUGACCAAUUAGGUCAAAGCUGUAUCAGGCUGGCUGUAAGGAUUACUGAGUUUCCUAAUAAGAUAUUAUAGUAUUAGAUGAUAUAAUAAAGCAAUUGAUCAACCUUCUACAAUCAUAGAAUCAAUGCUAAUUAUUACCUAACUAGAGGCCUGAGGCAACAGUCAAUACUUUUGCAUCACUUACCUCGUGCAGUUGAACUUCAGAGCAGAUAACACCUUGCUUUCCUGAAGCUCCAGAUGCCUGACUUCCGAAAACUCAGCUUUUACUCAGAGAGAAGUAUUUAUUUGGCUGUGGCUUUCUUUAUGCCUUCUCUGCUUGCUGCCCUCUUGUCUUUCUGGUUUCUCUUCCACAUGAACAGUAUUCAGCCACCUGCAUGUUAAUUCAGCCUGCUGUCAAACCCUCCACCUACACAACACUUUCUUAAACAGCUUUGUACAUACCCUCAUUUUUGGGGUGGUGGCUCCUAUUGUUUCAGCUAUCUAUUCCC